rnacentral:sRNA from 3 species
AACAAAUAAAUGCCGAAUUUUCGCUAAGAAAAACGGGGGAACCACUCGGGGUGAAUGAAUUCUGCAAGAGAGAAUUCUAGGGAACCUUCUACCGAACCCAUCAGCUAACUUCGUAGGCACCGGAGGGAGAACCA